rnacentral:rRNA from 1 species
UACGUAGGGCGCAAGCGUUAUCCGGAAUUAUUGGGCGUAAAGAGCUCGUAGGCGGUUUGUCGCGUCGGCCGUGAAAACUUGGGGCUUAACCCCAAGCUUGCGGUCGAUACGGGCAGACUUGAGUUCGGCAGGGGAGACUGGAAUUCCUGGUGUAGCGGUGAAAUGCGCAGAUAUCAGGAGGAACACCAAUGGCGAAGGCAGAUCUCUGGGACGUAACUGACGCUGAGGAGCGAAAGCAUGGGGAGCGAACAGG